UUUUGCUGACAAUUGGCGCGUUGCUACUUCCACUCGGGUCUCUCUUCCGACACGUGGCUUUCUGUUCCUGGGGUUUGUCCCGCGAGGCUCAAGAUCUUGUCGUAUCAAUUCAUCUCAUAUCGUGCAUUCGAUGCUGUAUAUUUCCAGGUCUCAAAGUUCCAAUGGAAGGAGGGGCUGCGAGCGUGGGUGUUGGAAAUGUUGUUGCUGUUAUUGACGGGCAGAAAGAGAAUAACACCCCAAUUGAUGGCAGAGAAGCACAUGGGUUAUAAUUACAAUAACAUAUCUUCAUCAAUUAUGCAUUAUUUACCAAUAAUUUAAUUACUCUAACUAAUUAAAUCAUCUUCAUUAUUAUA